CUACGUCUGCCUUUCUAUUCCUGCCCUGCAAAUAGGUUCAUCUGUACCAUUUUUCUAGAUUCCACAUAUAUGAAUUAACAUACAAUAUUUGUUUAGUGAAAAUUCUUUUGCUGCUAUAUCCACCUGUUUAUGUGAGCUUGGGUUCUUUAUGUAUUUUGGCACCAGAUUGAGAAGUUUCCUGGUCACCGAUCCAGGAUGAUAUGCAAGGUGUUGUGGUCACUCCACAGAAGUAUGCUGGACCCUCCUCCACCCCAAAUCGGUUUGCUGUCAAGACUGAUGAUGCCACAUAUGCACCGAGAGGCAUCUGGAGGGGUGUGCAGGUACAGCUCCUUUCCAGAAAGAAAGAGUAAAAUGAUUAUUACCCAACUGUGAAUACACAUGGAGUCACCCUUCACUUUCUACCCAGGCGCCUAGCCCAGGAUCAUAGGAUUUUAGAAUUGGAAGAAGUCUUAGAAAUCAACCACUUCAUUUUACAGAUGAAGAAACCGAGGCCCAGAAGGUGGCAUGCGUUGCCCACAGUCACAGUAAGGGAGUGGAAGAUUCCUGACUGGAACCAGGUUGACUUUUUUGUUUGUUUGUUUCUGUUUAAAACCUGACAUUGUUAUUAAAAACCAUAAAGAACUACUGAAAAGUACAUAGAAGGAAGAAAAUGAUCACCCCAAAUUCAAGCACCUAUAAAUAACCAGUGUUAGGAUGAAUUGUAUUAAUAGGUUUUCUAUUUCAAUAGAAUAAGCUCUAUUAGGAAUAAUGAACAUUUCUUUAGUGCUAUGUGUAGUUUCUCAUUAGAUCCUGCAUCUAAUAAAAUCUAUAAUCUAAUAAUUAUCAUUUUUUUAAAUUAGUACGUUUUAUCUUCAUCUUAGAGGACACAAUUUGCAGGUCACCUAAAUAGUCCGCAUAAUUGUGUUCUUUUCUUUAAUAAGUUGUUGGAUUCAAUUUAGUCACAAUUUAUUAACAUUUUUGCAUUUCUAUUUAUAAAUUAGGUUGGCGCCCACAUUCUCUCUCUCUCUUGCUACCUUUGCCAGGUUUUGGUAUUGGUAUUGUUUGCUUCCAAAACGAGUUGAGAAACCUUUGGUGAUUUGCUUUCACUAUUCCAAAGUUUCAAUAAAUGAGAACAACCAAUUCUAAGCUAAGAAUGCAUUAAACUACUCUAAUGAAUUUCCCGCAGCAUCUGAGUCUCUAAUGUGGGGUCUUAACCGGCUUAGUCAUGCGGGUGGGGCCACGUGGGAUGUUUGCUAUUAAGUAGCACUCACUGGUAGCCACUUAAAACUUUCCUCUGGACAACUGUCAGGGGAGUCUCACAAUUCAUGUCUCCCCCUUUCUCUGAGUAUUAAAAAAAAGUCCUGGAAAAAAAUCUUGAAGACGGUUUCAGUCAUUUUCAACGUAGAAUCCAGCCUUGAAACUAAUUAAAAAAAAAAAAAAG